rnacentral:lncRNA from 1 species
CCGCACCUGGUGCAUGUGGACGCGGCCCGCGCGCUGUGGCCCCUGCGGCGCUUCUGGAGGAGCACAGGCUUCUGCCCCCCGCUGCCACACAGCCAGGCUGACCAGUACGUCCUCAGCUGGGACCAGCAGCUCAACCUCGCCUAUGUGGGCGCCGUCCCUCACCGCGGCAUCAAGCAGGUCCGGACCCACUGGCUGCUGGAGCUUGUCACCACCAGCCAUGCACCCUGCGUCCAGCCCCGUGAGGCUGUAGAGUGACUGCAGGAAGAAGUCCUUGUUGGCAUAGUACAGCGGCCCCCCAAAGCGGAACACCCGCACGCCGGGCUCAGGGACGAGGCCCUCGAACUCUGUGGCAUCCUCGUAGAAGGCCGUGUCCCCGAUGCGGGCCAGCAGGGCGGUGCGUGGGCGUUGGGUGCGGCCGGCCAGGCUGAGCAGCGAGAGGAUGACGCCAGCCAGCAGCCCGGCCUCUGUGCUGACCAGCAUACAGGUGGCCGCGGUGCCUGCCCAGACCAGCGCGUCAGCCGGGCUCAUCCGCCACAGCCGCGGGAGGUCCCACACCUUGCGCAGGGCCCCCCGCAGGCUGACCACGAUGACGCAGGCCAGCACGCUUC